rnacentral:snRNA from 1 species
AGCUUUGCGCAGUGGCAGUAUCGUAGCCAAUGAGGUUUAUCCGAGGCGCGAUUAUUGCUAAUUGUAAUGUGCAAACAUUAGGGGAACCUCAAAUGGGUGGAGGAUGUAUGGGAACUUCCUGUACUAACGUUGUCAUGUU